GGGUGGUUAGCUCAGGGGUUUAGAGCAUUUGUUUUACAAACAAAAGGUCACUAGUUCAAAUCUAGUACCACCUA
rnacentral:tRNA from 1 species